AUGGUAACACCGCCCAGGGCGAACAGCCCUUCCUGCCACUGUACUCUCACAGGAUGAGAAAGUGGCUUGCAUCCUCCCAGAAGGGAAAGAUUUGCCAAUCAUGUUGUCCACCUCUGCCCUGUCCUUCCGUCCAGGGUAACAGCAAAUACCAAGUUCUCCUGGGCACACACAUUCGCGUGAGUCCACAACGUCUCUCACUGUUGGGUCUGUACUGAACUUCCUGUAGACACAGGAGAUGGACUGCCGUGGCACCUCCACCACGCGUCCAGAGCUAAUUGGAGCACCUUGAUUCAAUAGAAUGCCAACCGGACAGCGAGAUCGCCCUGGGACUUGCGGCGGCAGACUAUUGAAGAAAUAUUCCGACGUGAGCGGGGCAAUGCCCCCCCCACCUGGAAGGACUGUAUGGAAUGGGUGGGAACGGAUGAAUAGUAUUCAUGUGAACGUGAGGAAUUUAAGCCCCCUCUGUAUUGAGCAGCGGUUUGAACAUGAGGCUCCAAACCGCACAGUGGGGUGGCUCCCAGAAGAGCUGUGUGCCAAAAUCACUUAUAAUGUAAAUGCCUCCACCUGGUGGGAUGGACGACCUCUAAUUGGCACAAAGCCCACUGAUUUCCUGCCACCAGGGUAUCUGUGGGUAUGUCGCACCUACGGAUGGUCUUAUCUCCCAGCUAAAUGGACAGGGCGCUGUACUUGGGGUAGAACUUACUUGCCCGGACAUAUCCGGCCCACUUUAACAGAGGGCCCCACAAAUUGGGAUCCACUGUACACACAGUGGCACCGGGGGAAGCAUGCAGCUUGGUGGUUUUAUCCCAUGGCCCUGUUCCUGCCUGGUGCUAGGACCAUCAUUGUUGAAUUGCAGGUAGAAGCUUUAGCUCAGCACAUAUCUGCUGUACUGAAUGUUACUAGAAAAGCUAUAGAGGAAUUGUUAGAUGAGACUACCCAGAUGCGAAAGGUAGUCUUACAAAAUAGAAUGGCAUUAGAUAUUCUCACUGCAAGCCAGGGUGGCACAUGUGCUAUGUUACAUAUUGAAUGUUGUAUCUAUAUGCCAGAUCACCAGAAGUAAGUAGUUAAGGCACUGCAUGAAAUAGAUGAGGAAUUGGAUCGCAUAGAUCAUGUAACUCAAGACCCCCUUAAGAAUUGUUGGUCACCCUUGACGUCCUCCUGGAGAUGGAGCCUAACUGUCCUGGCUAUUGUUGCUGUUUGUGUAUUGGUAGGAUGCUGUAUUCUGUAUUGUUGUUGUGGUCUUUGGGCACAAUGCUCCGUCCUGUGGGCUAAGGUUCCUACGACCUAGGGGGUGGAAUGUGAGCUGGUGUUGAGAUGAGUUAAGGCUGUGGGACCCAAGGCCACGAUCAGAGCAUUGAAAUGAGUUAUAGCCCUG